rfam:Loxodonta africana unplaced genomic scaffold scaffold_2, whole genome shotgun sequence.
GGUGGUGCAGUGGUUAAAGCAUUUGGCUGCUAACCAAAAGGUUGGUGGUUUGAACCCACCAGCCA